rnacentral:tRNA from 1 species
UAACGAGUAGUUUAAGUAAAACAGCAGGUUGUGGCUCUGCAGAUGGUGUUGUCUUUCGUUAG